rnacentral:rRNA from 1 species
UGGUAGUGGGGGGAUAACGUUCGGAAACGGACGCUAAUACCGCAUACUUCUUACGGGAGAAAGCAGGGGACNUUCGGCCCUUGCGCUAUCAGAUGAGCCUAGGUCGGAUUAGCUAGUUGGUGGGGUAAUGGCUCACCAAGGCGACGAUCCGUAACUGGUCUGAGAGGAUGAUCAGUCACACUGGAACUGAGACACGGUCCAGACUCCUACGGGAGGCAGCAGUGGGGAAUAUUGGACAAUGGGCGAAAGCCUGAUCCAGCCAUGCCGCGUGUGUGAANGAAGGUCUUCGGAUUGUAAAGCACUUUAAGUUGGGAGGAAGGGUUGUAGAUUAAUACUCUGCAAUUUUGACGUUACCGACAGAAU